rnacentral:rRNA from 1 species
GUAGGUGGCAAGCGUUGUCCGGGAUUAUUGGGCGUAAAGCGCGCGCAGGUGGUUCUUUAAGUCUGAUGUGAAAGCCCCCGGCUCAACCGGGGAGGGUCAUUGGAAACUGGGGAACUUGAGUGCAGGAGAGGAAAGUGGAAUUCCACGUGUAGCGGUGAAAUGCGUAGAUAUGUGGAGGAACACCAGUGGCGAAGGCGACUUUCUGGCCUGUAACUGACACUGAGGCGCGAAAGCGUGGGGAGCAAACAGGGAUUAGAUACCCUGGUAGUCCACGCCGUAAACGAUGAGUGCUAAGUGUUGGGGGGGUUUCCGCCCCCUCAGUGCUGCAGCUAACGCAUUAAGCACUCCGCCUGGGAGUACGGUCGCAAGACUG